ACAUUUACUGCAGUGUGUAGACAAGCAUGCAUUUUUACUUUCAAAAAAUUCUGAUUGAUUUGCCAAGGGAGAACUAGACUUUGGAUUGCAUGUGAUUUGUUCCUCUCAUCAAGAAGUGGAGGUUGCCCUGAAACAACCUCAUCAACCAGCAGAUUCUCUAUCAUAAUAAUACAGCUUAUUGUCAGGUCUUGUGCAGAGAAGCAUGAAGGACAAGCACUAGAAUUGUCUCUACAGCAGAAUACCAGACAUGAAACAUUAGAAUUGCUAGUACUCAGGCACCAGCUGAAGCCUCAAGGAAAUGUUAUUCCAGAUGUAGAGACAAAUUGCAGGGAAACAGCUUCCCCAUGAAACAAUACUUCUCGUGCCAUUGGAUACAGCAGAACAGCAUUUUUUCCAGCAGUGGGUUUCUGGAAUAUGUGACAUUUCAGUAAAAUGAUGAAUUUUCAGAACUAAGAUUAGAGUUCUACUGCCAGGAGAAAAUCCAGGUCUGCUUUGCAUUUAUAGUGAUGUUGUGACACUAAAGUCUAAAGUUCUGAGUAAGGCUUACGGAAGUCUGAGUGGGCUAAUACUUGUUGCCUCUUGUCCAUUUGCCUGAUUGUUUCCAUUACACAUAGAGAACAAAGACCGCACAACAGAUGCGAGGCUUUGGGUUUCACCUGCCAAGAAAACUGGACAGCUUUGGUUAACUUUGCCAGUUGAUAUCAUUUGUUUAAAUGGCUUGAUUUCUUUCCUUGGAUUAGGCAGGCUUCAUAUACUGUUUGAGGCUCAGUGCAAUUUCUGCAAAGAAACAAAGUUCCUUCACUAUUCCCCCAUUUGCUGGAAGUGAAGAAACGGGCAACUUCAAAUCAUAAGAGUUGGAAGAGACCACAUGGGCCAUCUAGUCCAACCCCCUGCCAUGCAGGAAAAUGACUAGGGGUAAAUACUGUAGAUAGCUGGAAUGUCCUUGUUGUUCUUGUUCCUAUUUUUUAUUGUUUAUUGAUAUUAUACUACAAUAUAGAUGUGCUUUACAAGUAAAACAACCACAAACAGUGUGUCCUGCCAAAAGCAUACUAAAAUAUAUGUGUGCACACAUACAGAGGGAAGGAAUAAUAAAACUGUACUAUACAAUUGUAAAACAACCUAUCCAAAUUUUUUUUAAAAUAGAAUAUUAUAUAAAGCAAACUGACAAAUAUAUGUAGUUGUUUCCUCUUUCUUUUUCUAUUUUGAUGUUUCCUUUCCAAAACAACCUGGUUGGGAAAAGGACAGUUUGCAGACUGCAUGUAGCCUCCUGGAACUUCUAGGAUUCUCAACUCAGAAACAUUUGAAAAUUUGGCUCCCAAGUGACAAUUUGUCCCUGAGAAGUUUCUGCAGGAAAAGCACAAUCAAUGUACCCUUGAUAGAUGGCCAUCCAGCCUCUGUUUAAAAGCAUCUAAGGAAGGAGCCCCCACAACACUCCGAGGCAAAGAGUUCCACUGUUGAACAGCUCUUACAGUUAGUAGGUUCUUCCUAACUUUCAAGUGGAAUCUCAUUUCCUGUAAGCUGAACUCAUUGCUCUCAGUCCUAGUCUCCAAGUCAGCAGAAAACAAGCUUUCUCCUUCCUUCUUAUGACAUCCUUUCACAUAUUUAUCCAUGGCUAUCAUGUCUCCUCUCAAUCUUCUCUUCUGCAGGCUAAACAUACCCAGUUCUUUGAGACACUCCUCACUAUUUCAGUUGCCCUCCUUUGGACACAUUUCAGCUUGUCAGUAUCUCUUUUAAAUUGUAGUGCCCAGAAUUGGACACAGUAUACUGAUGAAGUCUAACUAAAGCAGAAUAGAGGGGUACCAUGACUUCCUUCAAUCUAGACACUAUAUUCCUUUUGAUGCAUUGUCCAGAAGACGCCAAUAUUUUUUUCAUAUGUACUGUUGUCAAGCCAGGUGUUAUCAAUUCUAUAUCUUUGCAUUUCUUUCCCCGCCCCCCUAAGUGUAGUAUCUUACAUUUGUCCUUGUUGAAAAGGUAGUGGAGGCUCCUUCUUUGGAGGCUUUUAAGCAGAGGCUGGACGGCCAUCUGUCGGGGGUGCUUUGAAUGUGAUUUUCCUGCUUCUUGGCAGGGGGUUGGACUGGAUGGCCCAUGAGGUCCCUUCCAACUAUAUGAUUCUAUGAUUCUAUGCAAAUCAUUUUGUUAGUUUUGGCCUGGCUCUCUAAUUUGAUAAGAUCAUUUUGAAUUCUGAUCCUGUCCCCUGGAGUAUUAGCUAUCCCUCCUAAUUUGAUGUCAUCUGUAAACUUGAUAAACACGCCUCCUAAACCUUCAUCCAAGUCAUUAAUAAAGAAUUCUGAUGCUUUCCUCUGGUGUAUUAGCUGUUUCUCCUAAUUAGGUGUCACCUGCAAACUUGAUAAGCAUGCUCUCUAAACUUUCAUCUAAGUCAUUAAUAAAGAUGUUGAAUGGUACUGGGCCUAGGACCGAACUCUGCAGCACUCCACUAGUCACUCCUUUCCAGGAUGAAGAGGAAGGUGAGCACGCUUUGGGUUUGGUUGUUUAAGCAAUUAGGGAUCCACCUAAUAGUAGCAUUGCCUAGCCCACAUUUUAGUUUGUUUGCAAGAAGGUCAUGUGGGACCUUGUCAAAGGCAUUACUGAAAUCAAGAGAUGCUACAUCCACAGCAUUCCCUGUAUCUAUCAAUCUUGUAACUCUAUGAAAGAAAGAGAUCAGAUUAGUCUGGCAUGACUUUUUUUGAGAAAUGCAUGUUGAUUUUUAGUUAUCACAGCAUUCCCUUCUAAACGAUUGCAGACUGCCUCCAUAAUUAUCUGUUGCAGAAUCAUCCCUGGUAUUGAAUCUUCCCUGGUACUGUGGUGUAUUGGCAUCAAAUUCUGCCAGAUCUGUAAGCCGCCCUGAGUCGCCUCGGGUGAGACAGGCGGGAUAGAAAUGAUGGAAAUAAAUAAAUUGAUGUCAGGCUGAUUGGACAGUAAUCGUUUGGGUCCUCCUUUUUUCCCUUCUUGAAGAUAGGAACUACAUUUACCCCCCCUCCAGUUUGCUGGGACUUCUGUUCUCCAAGAAUUCUCAAAGAUUAUUGCCAGUGGUUCUGAAAUUACUUCUGCUAGUCCCUUCAAUACUGUAGUUCAUCUGGCCCUAAAGAACUGAAUUCAUUUAGAGUAGCCAGGUGUUCCUGAGCUACUUAUUUACCUAUUUUGGGUUGCAUUUCCCCUAUUACUUCAUCCACUCAAUCUUGCCCAGGUUAAAAACUUAUUUCUUUUUAGGAGAAGACUUAGGCAAAGAAAGUGUUGAAUAGUUCUAUCCUGUCAGCAUUCUACCAACUAAUCCAUGCAACUAAUCCUACUGUUUCCUUGUUCUUCCUUUUUCUACUGACAAAACCAUAAAAAUAUUAUUUUAAAUUUCUAGCCUGAGCUCAUUUUACACUUCAGCCUUACAAACCUUUUCUCUACCUAUGUUAGUUAUUUGUUUGGGGGAGUAGCACAGGGUCAAUAGGCAGCUGUGAAGUGAAUGGAGUGUAAUUUGCAAUGGCUUCUGGACUAAGAUUUUGGGUCUAUGUGCAAUGUUUAACAGUAUAUGUAAUGUAUUUAUAUGCCAUUGUUUUUAUGACUUUUUAUGAUUUUAAUGUAUAUUGUAAUUUGCAUUGGUAUGUUUUAUGUUUAAUGUGGCAUUGAAUAUUGCCAGUCUGGAAGCUGCUCCAACUCCCCUUCAGUGUUGAGAUAGAGUGGGGGAAAAGGCAGCAAAUAAAUAAAUAAAUAAGCAUCAGCAUUUUCCAGAUGUGAAGUGAGCUUCCCAUAGCCUUCCUGUGCAUGUUCAUCUGAUGUGAGUUGUGUAUCUAGAAUGGUCUGUUGGGCUGUGUCCAAGAAAAAAAAAUGAGUUUCUUAAUGUCCUUAAGUCUUGCAAUCCGGGCCUCAAGUUACUGGAUCCUCUCUUCCAAUGAAGUGAGCUGUUUGCAUUUGCUGCAGAUGUUCUAUCAAGAAAACUCUGGUUAUCAAGUAGGAACGUUUAUUGAACUCUGGUCCUCCUCCUUUUCAAAACACCUCAGUUCUCCUAUAAAAGAGACUUAAUUAUUUUAUAUUAUUGUGUUUCCUUUCAAGAUUCUUUCAUCUUUUUUUUCUUUUUGCCUAUAGCAGAUUAAACAAUGCAGAUAAAAAUGCAAUAUAAUAUGUUUAUAUAAAAAUGUAUGGACUAAAAACAUAGGAAAUUCCAAAAACAGGAGAUAACCAAGCAGCAUGAAAAACCAAUAAUGUGAGACAAAAGCUUGAAUUAAAAUGUUGUGGAAAAUAAAAAACAGUAGAUAACAAGGCUGGGAGACCAGCCAACUGUCUUGGUUUUUAGGGAGCAAACUAUAUUGGGGAACGGCUAGCUCACAUCAAAAUGAAAAUGAGUUACAGUAGAGUCUCACUUAUCCAAUGUUCUGUGUUAUCCAACACAUUUUUGUAGUCAAUGUUUUCAAUACAUUGUGAUAUUUUGGUGCUAAAUUCGUAAAUACAGUAAUUACUACAUAGCAUUCCUGCAUAUUGAACUACUUUUUCUCUCAAAUUUGUUGUAUAACAUGAUGUUUUGGUGCUUAAUUUGUAAAAUCAUAACCUAAUUUGAUGUUUAAUAGGCUUCUCCUUAAUCUCUCCUUAUUAUCCAACACAUUCGCUUAUCCAACAUUCUGCCGGCCCAUAUAUCAUCAUCAUCAUUAUUUAAUUACUUAUUAAUCGCCCUCCAUCCACGAUGCUCUAGGCGAUUUACAAGAUAAAAUUGUAAAGGAUAAAAA